AUUAUUUUAGUAUAAGAAUUAUAUUUUCCUUCCAAGAAAAAGAUUUAGAUAGCGCUAAAAAUAAUA
rnacentral:tRNA from 1 species